rnacentral:rRNA from 1 species
GAUGAACGCUGGCGGCGUGCUUAACACAUGCAAGUCGAACGAUUAAGACGGCUUCGGCCGUGUAUAGAGUGGCGAACGGGUGAGUAACACGUGACCAACCUGCCCCGCGCUCCGGGACAACCGCUGGAAACGGCGGCUAAUACCGGAUGCUCCGGGGAGGCCCCAUGGCCUCCCCGGGAAAGCCCUGACGGCGCGGGAUGGGGUCGCGGCCCAUUAGGUAGACGGCGGGGUAACGGCCCACCGUGCCCGCGAUGGGUAGCCGGACUGAGAGGUCGACCGGCCACAUUGGGACUGAGAUACGGCCCAGACUCCUACGGGAGGCAGCAGUGGGGAAUUUUGCGCAAUGGGGGCAACCCUGACGCAGCAACGCCGCGUGCGGGACGACGGCCUUCGGGUUGUAAACCGCUUUCAGCAGGGAAGAAAUUCGACGGUA